rnacentral:tRNA from 1 species
ACCUGGCUGGCUCAGUUGGUGGAGCAUAUGACUCUGGAUCUCAGGGUUGUAAGUUUGAGCCUCAUGCUGGGUA